UAACGCGAAGAACCUUACCUGGGUUUGACAUAUACCGGAAAGCUGCAGAGAUGUAGCCCCCCUUGUGGUCGGUAUACAGGUGGUGCAUGGCUGUCGUCAGCUCGUGUCGUGAGAUGUUGGGUUAAGUCCCGCAACGAGCGCAACCCUCGUCCUAUGUUGCCAGCACGUAAUGGUGGGGACUCAUAGGAGACUGCCGGGGUCAACUCGGAGGAAGGUGGGGAUGACGUCAAGUCUUCAUGCCCCUUAUGUCCAGGGCUUCAAGCAUGCUACAAUGGCCGGUACAAAGGGCUGCGAAACCGCAAGGUGGAGCGAAUCCCAAAAAGCCGGUCUCAGUUCGGAUUGGGGUCUGCAACUCGACCCCAUGAAGUCGGAGUCGCUAGUAAUCGCAGAUCAGCAACGCUGCGGUGAAUACGUUCCCGGGUCUUGUACACACCGA
rnacentral:rRNA from 1 species